rnacentral:rRNA from 1 species
AGAGUUUGAUCCUGGCUCAGGACGAACGCUGGCGGCGUGCCUAACACAUGCAAGUCGAACGAGAAUCUUUGGAAUGAUUCUUUCGGGAUGAAUUCUAAAGAGGAAAGUGGCGGACGGGCGAGUAACGCGUGAGUAACCUGCCCAUAAGAGGGGGAUAAUCCAUGGAAACGUGGACUAAUACCGCAUAUUGUAGUUAAGUUGCAUGACUUGAUUAUGAAAGAUUUAUCGCUUAUGGAUGGACUCGCGUCAGAUUAGAUAGUUGGUGAGGUAACGGCUCACCAAGUCAACGAUCUGUAGCCGAACUGAGAGGUUGAUCGGCCGCAUUGGGACUGAGACACGGCCCAGACUCCUACGGGAGGCAGCAGUGGGGAAUAUUGCGCAAUGGGGGCAACCCUGACGCAGCAACGCCGCGUGCAGGAAGAAGGUCUUCGGAUUGUAAACUGUUGUCGCAAGGGAAGAAGACAGUGACGGUACCUUGUGAGAAAGUCACGGCUAACUACGUGCCAGCAGCCGCGGUAAUACGUAGGUGACAAGCGUUGUCCGGAUUUACUGGGUGUAAAGGGCGCGUAGGCGGACUGUCAAGUCAGUCGUGAAAUACCGGGGCUUAACCCCGGGGCUGCGAUUGAAACUGACAGCCUUGAGUAUCGGAGAGGAAAGCGGAAUUCCUAGUGUAGCGGUGAAAUGCGUAGAUAUUAGGAGGAACACCAGUGGCGAAGGCGGCUUUCUGGACGACAACUGACGCUGAGGCGCGAAAGUGUGGGGAGCAAACAGGAUUAGAUACCCUGGUAGUCCACACCGUAAACGAUGGAUACUAGGUGUAGGAGGUAUCGACCCCUUCUGUGCCGCAGUUAACACAAUAAGUAUCCCACCUGGGGAGUACGACCGCAAGGUUGAAACUCAAAGGAAUUGACGGGGGCCCGCACAAGCAGUGGAGUAUGUGGUUUAAUUCGA